AACAGGAUUAGAUACCCUGGUAGUCCACGCCGUAAACGUUGGGCGCUAGAUGUAGGGACCUUUCCACGGUUUCUGUGUCGUAGCUAACGCAUUAAGCGCCCCGCCUGGGGAGUACGGCCGCAAGGCUAAAACUCAAAGGAAUUGACGGGGGCCCGCACAAGCGGCGGAGCAUGCGGAUUAAUUCGAUGCAACGCGAAGAACCUUACCAAGGCUUGACAUACACCGGAAACGGCCAGAGAUGGUUGCCCCCUUGUGGUCGGUGUACAGGUGGUGCAUGGUUGUCGUCAGCUCGUGUCGUGAGAUGUUGGGUUAAGUCCCGCAACGAGCGCAACCCUCGUUCUAUGUUGCCAGCGCGUUAUGGCGGGGACUCAUAGGAGACUGCCGGGGUCAACUCGGAGGAAGGUGGGGAUGACGUCAAAUCAUCAUGCCCCUUAUGUCUUGGGCUUCACGCAUGCUACAAUGGCCGGUACAAAGGGCUGCGAUACCGUAAGGUGGAGCGAAUCCCAAAAAGCCGGUCUCAGUUCGGAUUGAGGUCUGCAACUCGACCUCAUGAAGUCGGAGUCGCUAGUAAUCGCAGAUCAGCAACGCUGCGGUGAAUACGUUCCCGGGCCUUGUACACACCGCCCGUCAAGUCAUGAAAGUCGGUAACACCCGAAGCCGGUGGCCUAACCCUUGUGGAAGGAGCCGUCGAAGGUGGGAUCGGUGAUUAGGACUAAGUCGUAACAAGGUAACC
rnacentral:rRNA from 1 species